UACGUAGGGGGCUAGCGUUGUCCGGAAUCAUUGGGCGUAAAGCGCGCGUAGGCGGCCCGGUAAGUCCGCUGUGAAAGUCCAGGGCUCAACCCUGGAAAGCCGGUGGAUACUGCCGGGCUAGAGUCCGGAAGAGGCGAGUGGAAUUCCUGGUGUAGCGGUGGAAUGCGCAGAUAUCAGGAGGAACACCGAUGGCGAAGGCAGGUCUCUGGGCCACUACUGACGCUGAGAAGCGAAAGCAUGGGGAGCGAACAGG
rnacentral:rRNA from 1 species